rnacentral:rRNA from 1 species
AUUGAACGCUGGCGGCAGGCCUAACACAUGCAAGUCGAGCGGAUGAAGGGAGCUUGCUCCUGGAUUCAGCGGCGGACGGGUGAGUAAUGCCUAGGAAUCUGCCUGGUAGUGGGGGAUAACGUCCGGAAACGGGCGCUAAUACCGCAUACGUCCUGAGGGAGAAAGUGGGGGAUCUUCGGACCUCACGCCAUCAGAUGAGCCUAGGUCGGAUUAGCUAGUUGGUGGGGUAAAGGCCUACCAAGGCGACGAUCCGUAACUGGUCUGAGAGGAUGAUCAGUCACACUGGAACUGAGACACGGUCCAGACUCCUACGGGAGGCAGCAGUGGGGAAUAUUGGGCAAUGGGCGAAAGCCUGAUCCAGCCAUGCCGCGUGUGUGAAGAAGGUCUUCGGAUUGUAAAGCACUUUAAGUUGGGAGGAAGGGCAGUAAGUUAAUACCUUGCUGUUUUGACGUUACCAACAGAAUAAGCACCGGCUAACUUCGUG